rnacentral:rRNA from 1 species
AUGAAUCUGCUCCGUCUGGAAUCUCGCAUCGACAGUGUCGUGGACUACUUGGCUCGACUGAAGGUUGCCAUGUUGCGGAUUGACCCGACACUUUGGCCAGAGGCUAUGCUCCAAAAUGAUCUUGAGUCCCUGAUGACUCGACUAAAUGAAAUCCCAGACCGAGUGCAGGAGUGGAAGAAGUCUGUUGCUCGGUGUGGCGCUGACGUGGCUCUAUCUUUGGUUUGUGUCCACUGCAAGGAGGUGCAACAAGACAAACUGGCAGCAAUCAAGGUCGCCAACACCCAGAAACAUGACUUCCGAACCUUUAUGGAGACUUUCAUCGCUGCAGCCACUCGGAUAGCCGACGGCGUCGACCUGGAUGAGUUCGUCAAGCCUGCCAGCCCUCCUCCCACGGAGUGA